UUGGAUAUGGUGUAACGGCUAACAUUGCCGCCUCUCACAUAUGUUCGCGGCAGCUCGGGGUUCGAUUCCCCGUAUCCGAA